rnacentral:rRNA from 1 species
UACGUAGGGCGCGAGCGUUAAUCGGAAUAAUUGGGCGUAAAGGGUGCGCAGGCGGUAAGUUAAGACGGAUGUGAAAGCCCCGGGCUCAACCUGGGAAUUGCGAUGAAGACUGCAAGGCUUGAAUCUGGCAGAGGGGGGUAGAAUUCCGCGUGUAGCAGUGAAAUGCGUAGAGAUGCGGAGGAACACCGAUGGCGAAGGCAGCCCCCUGGGUCGACACUGACGCUCAGGCACGAAAGCGUGGGGAGCAAACAGGAUUAGAGUACCCGGGU